GAUCAUGGCUCAGGAUGAACGCUAGCGGCAGGCUUAACACAUGCAAGUCGAGGGGCAGCGGGAGGAGUGCUUGCACUUCUUGCCGGCGACCGGCGCACGGGUGAGUAACACGUAUGCAACCUGCCUCCGUCAGGGGGACAACCCGGCGAAAGCCGGGCUAAUCCCGCGUAUAUUCCGUGAGGGCAUCCUUACGGAAGGAAAGGUUUAGGCCGGACGGGGAUGGGCAUGCGGCGCAUUAGGUAGUCGGGGGUG
rnacentral:rRNA from 1 species